CCUACGGGGAGCAGCAGUGGGGAAUAUUGCACAAUGGGGGAAACCCUGAUGCAGCGACGCCGCGUGAGUGAAGAAGUAAUUCGUUAUGUAAAGCUCUAUCAGCAGGGAAGAAAAUGACGGUACCUGAGUCAGAAGCCCCGGCUAACUACGUGCCAGCAGCCGCGGUAAUACGUAGGGGGCAAGCGUUAUCCGGAUUUACUGGGUGUAAAGGGAGCGUAGACGGGAGUGCAAGUCUGGAGUGAAAGGCGGGGGCUCAACCCCCGGACUGCUCUGGAAACUGUACGGCUGGAGUGCAGGAGAGGUAAGUGGAAUUCCUAGUGUAGCGGUGAAAUGCGUAGAUAUUAGGAGGAACACCAGUGGCGAAGGCGGCUUACUGGACUGUAACUGACGUUGAGGCUCGAAAGCGUGGGGAGCAAACAGGAUUAGAUACCCUUGUAGUC
rnacentral:rRNA from 1 species